AUACGGAGGAUCCGAGCGUUAUCCGGAUUUAUUGGGUUUAAAGGGUGCGUAGGCGGUUUGCUAAGCGGGAGGUGAAAUGCCGGCGCUCAACGUCGGAAGUGCCUCCCGAACUGGUGGACUGGAAUGACUCUGCCGUGGGAGGAAUGUGUAGUGUAGCGGUGAAAUGCGUAGAGAUUACACAGAACACCGAUUGCGAAGGCAUCUCACGAAGGGUUGAUUGACGCUGAGGCACGAAAGCGUGGGGAUCAAACAGGAUUAGAUACCCUGGUAGUCCACGCAGUAAACGAUGAUGGCUAACCGCUGGGCUUAUCAGUUCAGUGGCCAAGCGAAAGCGAUAAGCCAUCCACCUGGGGAGUACGACCGCAAGGUUGAAACUCAAAUGAAUUGGCGGGG
rnacentral:rRNA from 1 species